rnacentral:rRNA from 1 species
GAUGAACGCUGGCGGCGUGCCUAAUACAUGCAAGUCGAGCGAACAGACGAGGAGCUUGCUCCUCUGACGUUAGCGGCGGACGGGUGAGUAACACGUGGAUAACCUACCUAUAAGACUGGGAUAACUUCGGGAAACCGGAGCUAAUACCGGAUAAUAUAUUGAACCGCAUGGUUCAAUAGUGAAAGACGGUUUUGCUGUCACUUAUAGAUGGAUCCGCGCCGCAUUAGCUAGUUGGUAAGGUAACGGCUUACCAAGGCAACGAUGCGUAGCCGACCUGAGAGAGUGAUCGGCCACACUGGAACUGGGACACGGUCCAGACUCCUACGGGAGGCAGCAGUAGGGAAUCGUCCGCAAUGGGCGAAAGCCUGACGGAGCAACGCCGCGUGAGUGAUGAAGGUCUUCGGAUCGUAAAACUCUGUUAUUAGGGAAGAACAAAUGUGUAAGUAACUAUGCACGUCUUGACGGUACCUAAUCAGAAAGCCACGGCUAACUACGUG